UUUUGUCUUUUCCAGGUUUUGGUUGCGAGUUUGACUUUGAGCGCCUGUUAUAACGGCAAAGCCUCUCGCAUGGUAAAGCUGCUCUCUGUAGCAACAGGUCUGCAGGAUGAACCAGAAUUGAAGAAAAUGUGCAGACACGAUGCGGGUUGCUAACCUUUCAGAGUUAGGCUGAUAUUUCUAUGGAUCAAAGAUGUGGGCAGUGGUGAUAGAAGUUCACUCUCGACGUGGUUCGUUAAACACGUAAAGCCGUUGGUCCCGUUGCUGAAUAACUGGUUCCAUGCAACAUAAAAACACCAUACAAACAAACAAGAUGUCGACAAAGAUGGAUGUGAGCUUCUAUUCGUGUAAUUUCUGAGUUUUCCAUGUUGUGCAUUUCAUUGAAACCCUGAUAGGUUUGAGUUAGGAUCCUGGGAUGUUAUGCAUCCGUAAACUUACUGUUUUCCGCUGUAUAUUUUAAAAUCAAAUAUCAAUAAAUAAUGGGUCUUUAUA